AUGAUCUCGGUGAAAUUGUAGUAUCGGUGAAGAUGCCGGUUACCCGCAGUGGGACGAAAAGACCCCGUGCACCUUUACUAUAGCUUCGUAUUGACCUUGGUCAAACAAUGUGUAGGAUAGCUGGGAGGCUUUGAAUCUGCGUCGCCAGGCGUGGAGGAGCCGUUGUUGAAAUACCAGCCUUUGUUUGAUCGGGGCCUAACCCCUAACGGGGGACAGUGCGUGGUGGGUAGUUUGACUGGGGUGGUCGCCUCC
rnacentral:rRNA from 1 species